rnacentral:rRNA from 1 species
GCAUGAAGCCGGAAUCGCUAGUAAUCGCGGAUCAGCACGCCGCGGUGAAUACGUUCCCGGGCCUUGUACACACCGCCCGUCACACCACGAGAGUUUGUAACACCCGAAGUCGGUGAGGUAACCUUUUGGAGCCAGCCGCCUAAGGUGGGAUAGAUGAUUGGGGUGAAGUCGUAACAAGGUAGCCGUAUCGGAAGGUGCGGCUGGAUCACCUCCUUUCUAAGGAA